rfam:Gammaproteobacteria bacterium RBG_16_57_12 RBG_16_scaffold_5361, whole genome shotgun sequence.
UAUUGCGCGCUUCCUCGAAAGCGCGGGUUUAUGUGUAGGAGAUCGUCUUAAUGGCGCGUAUUGCAGGCGUUAAUAUUCCGGAC